rnacentral:rRNA from 1 species
GACGAACCAAGCGAACGUUAUUCGGAAUCACUGGGCUUAAAGGGCGCGUAGGCGGGCGGUCAAGUCAGGGGUGAAAGCCCCCAGCUCAACUGGGGAAGUGCCUUUGAUACUGGUCGUCUCGAGGGGGAUAGGGGCGUGCGGAACUUCCGGUGGAGCGGUGAAAUGCGUAGAUAUCGGAAGGAACACCGAUGGCGAAAGCGGCGCGCUGGAUCCCUUCUGACGCUGAGGCGCGAAAGCCAGGGGAGCGAACGGG